ACAUUGGUGGUUUAGUGAUAGAAUGCUUGCCUGCCAUGCGGGAGAUCUGGGUUCAAAUCAUGGCCUAUGCG
rnacentral:tRNA from 1 species